rnacentral:rRNA from 1 species
UCCUGAAUCAGCGGCGGACGGGUGAGUAAUGCCUAUCGAUCUGCCUGGUAGUGGGGGACAACGUUUCGAAAGGAACGCUAAUACCGCAUACGUCCUACGGGAGAAAGCAGGGGACCUUCGGGCCUUGCGCUAUCAGAUGAGCCUAGGUCGGAUUAGCUAGUUGGUGAGGUAAUGGCUCACCAAGGCGACGAUCCGUAACUGGUCUGAGAGGAUGAUCAGUCACACUGGAACUGAGACACAUCCACACUCCUACGGGAGGCAGCAGUGGGGAAUAUUGGACAAUGGGCGAAAGCCUGAUCCAGCCAUGCCGCGUGUGUGAAGAAGGUCUUCGGAUUGUAAAGCACUUUAAGUUGGGAGGAAGGGUUGUAGAUUAAUACUCUGCAAUUUUGACGUUACCGACAGAAUAAGCACCGGCUAACUCUGUGCCAGCAGCCGCGGUAAUACAGAGGGUGCAAGCGUUAAUCGGAAUUACUGGGCGUAAAGCGCGCGUAGGUG